UACGUAGGGUCCGAGCGUUGUCCGGAAUUAUUGGGCGUAAAGAGCUCGUAGGCGGUCUGUCGCGUCGGCUGUGAAAACCCGGGGCUCAACCCCGGGCCUGCAGUCGAUACGGGCAGACUAGAGUGUGGUAGGGGAGACUGGAAUUCCUGGUGUAGCGGUGAAAUGCGCAGAUAUCAGGAGGAACACCGGUGGCGAAGGCGGAUCUCUGGGCCAUUACUGACGCUGAGGAGCGAAAGCGUGGGGAGCGAACAGG
rnacentral:rRNA from 1 species